rnacentral:rRNA from 1 species
UGCAGAGGGUGCAAGCGUUGUUCGGAAUCACUGGGCGUAAAGGGUGCGUAGGCGGGUCUUUAAGUCAGGGGUGAAAUCCUGGAGCUCAACUCCAGAACUGCCUUUGAUACUGAAGAUCUUGAGUUCGGGAGAGGUGAGUGGAACUGCGAGUGUAGAGGUGAAAUUCGUAGAUAUUCGCAAGAACACCAGUGGCGAAGGCGGCUCACUGGCCCGAUACUGACGCUGAGGCACGAAAGCGUGGGGAGCAAACAGG